rnacentral:rRNA from 1 species
GGGGAAUAUUGCACAAUGGGCGCAAGCCUGAUGCAGCCAUGCCGCGUGUAUGAAGAAGGCCUUCGGGUUGUAAAGUACUUUCAGCGGGGAGGAAGGCGAUAAGGUUAAUAACCUUGUCGAUUGACGUUACCCGCAGAAGAAGCACCGGCUAACUCCGUGCCAGCAGCCGCGGUAAUACGGAGGGUGCAAGCGUUAAUCGGAAUUACUGGGCGUAAAGCGCACGCAGGCGGUCUGUCAAGUCGGAUGUGAAAUCCCCGGGCUCAACCUGGGAACUGCAUUCGAAACUGGCAGGCUAGAGUCUUGUAGAGGGGGGUAGAAUUCCAGGUGUAGCGGUGAAAUGCGUAGAGAUCUGGAGGAAUACCGAUGGCGAAGGCAGCCAUCUGGCCUAAUACUGACGCUGAGGGACGAAAGCAUGGGGAGCAAAC